rnacentral:rRNA from 1 species
CGCAUCUGUGCAUGCAGCAUAUCAAUAAGCGGAGGAAAAGAAACUAACAAGGAUUCCCUUAGUAACGGCGAGUGAAGCGGGAAGAGCUCAAAUUUGAAAUCUUCAAGGUUUUACCUUGACGAAUUGUAGUUUAAAGAAGUGUUUUCUGCUGAAGUUUUGGUAAAAGUUCUUUGGAAUAGGACAUCAUAGAGGGUGAGAAUCCCGUAUUUGACCAUUAUUUUCAGCUUUGUGAUACACUUUCAAAGAGUCGGAUUGUUUGGGAAUGCAGUCCAAAAUGGGUGGUAAAUUUCAUCUAAAGCUAAAUAUUGGCGAGAGACCGAUAGCGAACAAGUACCGUGAGGGAAAGAUGAAAAGAACUUUGAAAAGAGAGUUAAACAGUACGUGAAAUUGUCAAAAGGGAAGCGUUUGACACCAGUGUUGUUUUCUCGAAAAUCAAUUAAAAAUGGCUCGAUUUUGUAUUGCUUGAGACCUUAAAAGCUCACUGUACAUUUUUCGUGUCCUUUUUAAUGCACUUUUCGUUUAACAAGUCAACAUCAGUCUCUUUUGUUGUAAAAGGGUCAUUGGAAGGUGGCUUUCUUUUCGGAGAAAGUGUUUAUAGCCUUCGGCCUCUGCAAUCGGAGAGACUGAGGUCUGCAGCGUAGACUCUUCGGGGUUAGAUACAUUUGUGCUAAGUUAUAGCAUUUUAUAGACAACUUGUUGACUAUGAUUAGUCUUGUAGCUUACUCGCUUAUGCUAUUUUACCUACGCUUAGGAUGUUGAUAGUCACAGCGUGUAC